GCCCCAGUAGCUCAAUGGUAGUUCCUAUGAGCGGUCAGCUAAAGCGCCUAGCAAUAACUACGAAGAGGUCGCAGGUUCGAAUCCUGCUUGGUGGCU